AGGGCAGUAGCUCAGUGGUAGAGUUCCCAUUCGUAUGUGGGAAGACCUGGGUUCGAUUCCCGGCUGCUUAC
rnacentral:tRNA from 1 species